rnacentral:rRNA from 1 species
GAUGAACGCUGGCGGCGUGCCUAAUACAUGCAAGUCGAGCGAACAGACGAGGAGCUUGCUCCUCUGUCGUUAGCGGCGGACGGGUGAGUAACACGUGGAUAAUCUACCUAUAUGACUGGGAUCAUCUCGGGACACCGGAGCUAAUACCGGAUAAUAUCUUGCACCGCAUGGUUCAAUAGUGAAAGACGGUUUUGCUGUCACUUAUCGAUGGAUCCGCGCCGCAUUAGCUAGUUGGUAAGGUCACGGCCUACCACGGCGACGAUGCGUAACCGACCUGCGAGGGUGGUCGGCCACACUGGAACGGAGACACGGUCCAGGCUCCUACGGGAGGCAGCAGUAGGGAAUCUGCCGCAAUGGGGGGAAGCUUGGCGGAGCGACGCCACGUGAGUGAUGAAAAUCUUCGGAUCGUAAAACUCUGUUAUUAGGGAAAAACAAAUGUGUAAGUAACUAUGCACGUCUUGACGGUACCUAAUCAGAAAGCCACGGCUAACUACGUG